UAUUUUAUCUUAUUCUUUACCCUUUCCUGUGAAUAAUAUUUUCCAUCACUGUGAACGUUUGUUUCAAAUCCAACAUGAUAUUUUCGCAUAAAUCCAAACGAUUCAAUCCCACCACUAUGGCUCUAUUGUCAAAAGCAAUCUCUGCCGGGUCUAUGAAUAGAUCAUUGCUAGAUAUUCCUUUCUCCAAUCAUAGGAAUAUACAAUAAAUAAAAAUAUAGAUUAGAUAGUUCGAACGUAACGUAUUAACCAAACCAUUUGAUCAGUUUGAACGCAACGAUCAGUUCAAACAACUUCAUACCUGAACCGAAUGAACUUACGUUAUAAUAUUUCUCUGAAUAAUCCUCUUUAAGUUCUUUGGAGUGCACUGACUCUUAAGGUAGAAACGCGUUACUUUCGCGUCACGUGAAAUCACGUAACAACGGGUUAUUUCACGUGACGUUCGAGAAGUGUGAGCCGGUGUAUUUCCAUCGUUUUAAAUCCGUUGGAAACAAGUCAGCGUCACGCCACGCUGUUUACGGCAUUUCGCGUAUCGUCGCGUGUAAAAGCAGACAUCAAUUCCGCGACGUCUGGCAGUUUUAAUGUCGCGUGAACAGGGCAGACAAUGGAGGAAUUAUUAAUAGAAAGUGCGAGGAAACGUACAGUGUUAUUUAACGAAAAAUCCUGCGCCUCCGUGAAUCAGAAGAUGCUACGAGAGGCUUGAGAAGAAUUUGAUCGACAGUUAAAAAUAUCUUGUAAGUACAAACAUCGUAAUUAUUUAAAAUUUCUACGUAUUUAUACAAACAAAAUCUAGAUGAAUUCAAAUAACGCUGGUUUGCUAUUGUGUUUUAUAAACUUGUUAAUCCUUUGUUUCUAAUCUUCCUCUACGAACCAUGUUUAUCUGCCACGGUACUGUGCCAUCGGAGGAGUCCAAGUAUUCGUUAAAAUAUUCGCAAAUUCGAAACGCUAUUUGAGUAAAAUUUUGUCUCAUUUAUAUUCUCAUAUUCUUUGUAGAGAAGCAAGCAGUUGUAAAAUUUCGGUAAAACAUCAGGCUCCAACUUGUCACAUUUGAUGCAGGCAGCACGCUACCAAUAUGAUUUUGUCUGCCACUUCUGCUUAUGCUUCUAACUGGUUUCUAAAGACUGUCCAGCAGUUAAAAUAGCAAAUGCAUUUUCUGCAACUCGUCUGACUCGCGACGACCUACAAUUAAUAAUCCUGUUUGCUUCAUUCAUAUCAAAUGAUAUUUGCUAUCAAUGCAUCGUUUCCUACAAUGAAAUACAGCCUCGCCAUUCACCACAAUAGGAGAGAUGCUCGUGGAACAUUGAGCUGUUUAGUUUCUAGUUUUCUUCCAAAAAAUGAUAGAAACUUGUAGUUAGCAUCAACUGAAACUAAAAGUACCGUGGAAUUAUUGUAAUUACAGAAUUUUUGAAUUAGUAGGACAUUUUUUAAGGACUCCUUUGUUGGCUGAGCAGUUGGGCUUCAAGGUUUCCAUAUAGAAUUACAAACAUCUUUUAUUAUUCCUCUGACAGUACCGAAUCCUAACUUGUAAUUAAGAACUAUAUUUUGAAGAGAAUUACCAAAAGUUUACAGUAAAAGAAGAAAUUAUUUCAACCAAAUACGCAGAAAAGAAGCGGAACAAACGGUGAAGCAGAAAAGCGGCGAAGCUGCUAAGAAAAUUAUACCGCGGGAGCAUUGGCUGUUCAGGCAAAUAACGUCUCUUUUGUCAUUUCUGGGUGCCAGAAUAACGCAUAGUAGCAUAGGAGAACCUGAAUCGCAAAUGUCGGAAAAUGAUAUAAUUCAGUAGGAAAAUAGUGGAAACAAUGAGAUUGAUACAGACGAAGGUCAGGGCAGUAUAGAAAAUGCAGACGGGAGCCAAAUCAGUUCAAUCCAGAUCAGAAAAAAAAUUCUACGGAUAACACAGAAGGGAUAGGAGUAUUAGAAAUUACAAAAAGCAAUAAAUGCCAUAAGCCUGUGUUGAAAAGUAUGGCGGAAGAAAUAAUAAAUAGCAUUAGUAGUAAUAGAAGAUGUGAAAUAAAGAGGAACUCAUAUGUUCUUUUGAAGUAUGGCAAGAAUGACAGGACAGUUGCCACGAUACGAGUAAAGUGAAAUCAAAUUCACAUUGAAUAGUGCAAUAUGACAAGCAGAGAUCCGAAAUCAACAGAAACAAGAUUUCUGUCCUGACCAACCAUCCCAUUCUCGGCCAGAAUCUUCAUAUACGUUAUGGUUGGCUGUAAUAUCAAUAAUCAUUUUAAUGAAAAUAAUUAACGAAAGAACACCUUGAAUUUUAUUAUAA